CUUCCAGGAGAGCGCCUGCGCGGGAGGGUGACCACAGGCGGCCGGGCGGGAUGUCCUGUCCGCCGUCUUCAGCCCAGCCGCCACCACCCAUAAGCUAUGAGGAGGAGUUUACGACCACCUGGACUACUACCACCUGCGUGACUUCCCGGCCUGAGGGGUCCGCGCAGCAAAGGCCUGACGCUGCUGGAGCAGGCGCUGCGCACCUACCGGCUGGCGCCUGGUAGGCACGAGUGCAGGGUCGCCCAGAAGCUCCUCAAUGGCCGGCGCAAGUGCCAGCCAGCGCCAGCUGCAGCCCUGGCCGCGCACUCGCCUCAGCUGAGCCUGGGUAUGUGCACCCCCCAACACUUCCCCCAGCCAUGUUCCCGGGACCUCGGGAGCGUCCCCCACCGCCCGGUGCCAUUCGUGCUGGGCAGGGUCGGCCCCCUUUGAGGCUGCCCCGCGUUAGGGAGCUGCACCGCACCCCCACCAGCUUGACCUCUGACUGCCGUUGCAAUAGCAUUAAAGCCUUUGGAACUUUGUAGGUGGGUAGAAGGGGCUAGGAAACGAAGAAAACAUCUUUUUAAAAAUUUAUAUAAGGGACUGGCCGGGUGCGGUGGCUCACACCUGUAAUCCCAGCACUUUAGGAGGCCGAGUGGGUGGAUCACCAGGUCAGGAGUUGAAGACCAGCCUGGCCAGCAUGGUGAAACCCCGUCUCUACUAAAAAUACAAAAAUUAGCUAGGCGUGGUGGCGGGCGCCUGUAAUCCCAGCUACUCGGGAGGCUGAGGCAGAGAAUUGCUUGAACCCGGGAGGUGGAGGUUGCAGUGAGCCGAGAUCGCGCCAUUGCACUCCAGCCUGGGCAACAAGAGCAAAACUCCGUCUCUAAAUAAAUAAAUAAGAUUUUCAAGGCGAGGCAUGGUGGGUCACACCUAAAUAAGUAAAUAAAUAAAUAAAAUGGAUUUUCGGCUGGGCAUGGUGGCUCACGCCUGUAAUCCCAGCACUUUGGGAGGCCGAGGCGGGCGGUUCAUGAGGUCAGGAGAUCGAGACCAUCCUGGCUAACACGGUGAAACCCCGUCUCUACUGAAAAUACACACAAAAAAAAAUUACCCAGGCGUGAUGGCGCGCGCCUGUAGUCCCAGCUACUGGGAAGGCUGAGGCAGGAGAAUGGCGUGAACCCGGGAGGCAUAGUUUGCAAUGAGCCGAGACCGUGCCACUGCACUUCAGCCUGGGUGACAGCGAGACUCCGUCUCAAAAAAAUAAAUAAAUUAAAAAAAUAAAAUAAAAUGGAUUUUCAAGGCCAGGCAUAGUGGGUCACACCUAUAAUCCCAGCACUUUGGGAGGCCAAGGCAGAAGGAUUGCUUGAGCCCAGGAGUUCGAGACCAGCCUGGGCAACAGGGCAAAACCCUGUCUCUAUCAAAAGCACAAAAUAAGCUGGGCAUUAUAGUGCACACCUGUAGUCCGAGCUACUCAGGAGGCUGAGAUGGGAGGAUGGUUUGAGCCCGGGAGGCAGAGGCUGUAUUGAGCUGAGAUCAUACCACUGAACUUCAGCCUGGGUGACGAGCCAGACCCCGUCUCAAAAAAAAAUAAUAACAAUAAAAAUAAAUUCAUAUAGUUUGGUAUGGUUUAGUAAGUUUCAGCAGGCAGAUUGUCAGGGUAAGAUGGAUUGUUAUAUAUACAUUUAUAUAUAUAAUAUGUAUAUUUAUAUACUUAUUUAUUUUAGCAGAGAUAGGGUCUCCCUAUGUUGCCAGGCUGGUCUUAGACUCCUGAGCUCAAGCAAUCCUGCCUCGGGUUCCUAAAGGAAGCUCACAUUGGAGGUGUGAGCCACCACACCUGGCCUAUAAGGGGAAUUUAAGGGACUCUCUACUAUGAUGUCCCUUCUCCCAAUCCCUUUCCGCAUGUAGAAGAGGGUUCUGUUGAGUGACUGGCAUUUGCUUAUAUUUCUCAGUGCUAUGCCCAGUGUAAUGGAAAAGGCACAGACUGGCUCAAGAGCCCAGGGAUUUCAGUUCCAGGCCAAGCUCAUCCACUGACUGACAGAGUCAGUCAAACUUGUUUGGAUUUCAGAUUCUUCAUCUGAAUAACGUAGAUAACACUUAUCCCAUAGUACACUGCAAAGAUGACACGUGACAGUGAACAAGUUAGUUUCCGUUUAAAUAUUAAGAAUUAGGCCAGGCGCAGUGGCUCACACCUGUAACCCCAACACUUUGGGAGGUCGAGGCGAGUGGAUCACAAGGUCAGGAGUUCGAGACCAGCCUGGCCAAUAUGGUGAAACCCUGUCUCUACUAAAAAUACAAAAAUUAGGUGGGUGUGGUGGUGGGCGCCUCUAAUCCCAGCUACUUGGGAGGCUGAGGCAAGAGAGUCGCUUGAACCCGGGAGGCAGAGGUUGCAGUGAGCGAAAUUGCGCCACUGCACUCCAGCGCCUGGGUGACAGAGUGAGACUCAGUCUAAAAAAAAGAAAGGAAAAAAGAAUGAGAUUAGAGAGGGCCUUCAUUCCUCCUGGAAGAACACCUGAUGUACCUGAAAUCUUUGUUGGUGACAGGAAAUAUGUCGAUAGCAUAGGGUUUCACUGUUGCCUCCCACACAGGGCCUUCACCAUCUCUGUCAUCUGGAGAAUUUGUUCCCAUCAGGAAUCUCCCACCUGGCAGUGGGACCAUGCUAGUAGCCUGUCCAUUUCCUGCAGAUAAAAAAGAGAGGUAUCGGUAAUACAUGCAUAUAUAUAAAACAAGUGGUAAUAUUUGGAUCGUAUGCAAUACUCAUGAUGGUAUGACAAAACAAAACAAAAAAUGUGGAGGUUUAAAAAUCUGGCUUUAAAUUCCUUUUGCAUUUUGUUUGCCUUCACAUUCUUGUUCUGCCACUUAGUUUGAUGGGAAACCUUAGGCAAAUUUCUUAAUCUGAGAUUCAAUUUCUUUUCUUUUUUCUUUUUUUUUUUGUGACGGGAUCUCACUCUGUCACCCAGGCUGGAGUGCAGUCAUGCAGUCUUGGCUCACUACAGCCUCUGCCCCCGUGGGCUCAAGCAGUCCUCCCACCUCAGCCUCCUAAGAGCUGGGACCACAAGUGUGCACCACCACGCCUGGCUAAUUUUUGUAUUUUUUGUAGAGAUGGGGUUUUGUUAUGUUGCCCAGGCUGGUCUCAAACUCCUGAGAUCAAGUGAUCCUUCCACCUCAGCCUCCCAAAGUGCUGGGAUUACAGGUGUGAGCCAACACGCCCGGCUGAGAUUCAAUUUCUUCAUCUGAAAAAUGAGGAUACCUAUGGACAACUGUAGCUUGUUCAUAAAAGAAAAAAAAAAUAAGUAUGAAAAAUGGGGAUACUAUCUCACUAUCUCUUAGGUAGUAGCUGUAUCAAUUAAAGUAACAUGGAACCAGGUUCAAUGGCUCAGAGACAGGGUGCAGAAGCGAAGGCAGGAGGAUUGCUUGAGCCCAGGAGUUCAAGGUUGCGGUAAGCUAUGAUCAUGUCACUGCACUCCAGCCUGGGUGACAGAGUGAGAUCCUGUCUCAAAAAAUAAAAAAUAAAAAGAUAGUAAUAAAAUAGCAUGGGUGAAAUGUUGCGCACAUGAUAGAUUUGCACUUACCUCUUUCUUCCUCUACACAAACCCUUGCCCCAACUAGGCGAAUUUAGACACUCUACCCUAAAAUACAUCUAGCACUUUCUACCCAUCCUUCUGCUCAUGCUGUUUCUCUGCCUCUUCCUCUCCAUUUACUGAACUCUUACAGUUCUUGGUGAUUCUCACCAUUAUAUGCUCCAGAAGGGAAGUAUAUAAUACAUAUAUAUUUUUGACAGUAUAUACCUGGUCCCUGCCAUAAAUGCGCAAUGAUUAUCGCCAAAUAGUUAAAUGAGCACCUUUAGACUUGUUUGAAUGCCUCAGAAAUAUCAUAGAAUUAAAAAGGACCGGCCAGGCAUGGUGGCUCACGUCUGGAAUCCCAGCACUUUGGGAGGCAGAGGUGGGCAAAUCACCUGAGGUCAAGAGUUAAAGACCAGCCUGGCCAACAUGGCGAAACCCCAUCUCUAUUAAAAAUACAAAAAUUAGGCUGGGUGCGGUGGCUCACACCUGUAAUCCCAGCACUUUGGGAGGCCAAGGUGGGCGGAUCACGAGGUCAGGAGAUCAAGACCAUCCUGGCUAACAAGGUGAAACCCCAUCUCUACUAAAAACUACAAAAAAAUUAGCUGGGCCUGGUGGCGGGCACCUGUAGUCCCAGCUACUCGGGAGGCUGAGGCAGGAGAAUGGUGUGAACCCGGGAGGUGGAGCUUGCAGUGAGCUAAGAUCGUGCCACUGCACUCCAGCCUGGGCAACAGAGCGAGACUCCAUCUCAAAAAAAAAAAAAAAAAAGCCAGGCAUGAUGGUGCACACCAGUAAUCCCAGCUACUUGGGAGGCUGAGGCAGGAGAAUCACUUGAACCUGGGAGGCGGAGGUUAUAGUGAGCCAAGAUCGUGCCACUGCACUCCAGCUUGGGGGACAGAGCGAGACUCUGUCUCAAAAUAAAUAAAAAAGGGUCUGUGCUUCAAACUCCUUAUUCCACAGGAGGAAACCAAGACCCAAAAAAGAAAUAUGACUUAAAGAGCUGGUUAGCAGCUGACAGGACUAGAUUCGGGUCUCUUUACAGUACUGUUUCCAAUAGGCCACACUUCUUCAGCUUGAUGCACCACUUCAGUGUCUUUACAAGAAAGGAUGUCUAAGCACUGUAACUUCUUUCAAGGCAGAGUCCUGGUCUUUUGAUGUUCCUCAAGAUCCUGUCUUUGGCUCUCUUAUUCUGACACAUUCACACUGAUUUCAUCCAUUUUUUUUCUUUCUUUUUGUUUUUUUUUUUUUGAGGCAGAGCCUUGCCCUGUUGCCCAGGCCAGAGUGCAGUGGCAUGAUCUCGGCUCACUGCAACCUCUGUCUCCUGGGUUUAAGCGAUUCUCCUGCCUCAGCCUCCUGAGUAGCUAAGACUACAGGUGCGUGCCAACACUCCCAGCUAAUUUUUUGUAUUUUUAGUAGAGAUGGGGUUUCACCAUAUUGGCCAGGCUGGUCUUGAACUCCUGACCUUGUGAUCCACCCGCCUUGGCCUCUCAAAGUGCUGGGAUGACAGGCUUGAGCCACCGCGCCUGGCCUAUUUUCAGUUUCUUCAACAAAUAUAUCACCAAGGGGAAAAAAUGGAUCAUCCUGGCAUGGUGUCUCAGGCCUGUAAUCCCAGCACUUUGGGAAGCUGAGGCAGGGAUUGCUUGAGGCCACAGUGAGCUAUGAUGGCACCACUGCACUCCAGCCUGGGCAACACAGUGAGACCUUGUCCCCCCGCCCCACCAAAAAAACAAAUAAAUAAAAGGAGUAAGUAGGGAAAUAAUCAGAUUGAAUCAGAAUUAAGAAAUAACAUACAAUUGCAAUGUAUGAGCUUUAUUUUGUCCCUAAUUCAGCCAGCAAACGUUAAAAACCCUUUAUGAGAUAAUAGAUGAAUUUGAACAGAUUGGAUAUAUUAUUAAGCAGCACUGCCAGUUUUUUAGUUGAGAAAGGGUAAUUAUUUUUUCGUGACUUCUUUUGACUAUUCCAGCUGAAGGUUUAGAAUAAAAUGGGUUAUGUCUGGACCCACUUCAAAAUGGCUCCAGGAGACGGGGAGAGUGCGAUUCCACAGGAGCAGGACUGGCCACAAACUGGCAGCUCUUUAAGGUGGCCCACGAGUACGUGAGGGCAGGGGUCGUUCCUCGUUACAUUCUCCUCUUUCCCUUUUUUUUUUUUUUGAGAUGAAGUCUCGCUCUAUCUCCCAGGCUGGAGUGCAGUGUCACAAUCUCGGCUCACUGCAGCCUCCGCCCCCUGGCUUCAAGCGAUUCCCCUGCCUCAGCUUCCUGAGUAGCUGGGAUUACAGGCCUACGCCACCACGCCCGGCUGAUUUUUUGUAUUUUUGUGGAGACGGGGUUUCACCAUGUUGGCCAGGCUGGUCUCCAACUCCUAACCUCAAGUGAUCCACCCGUCUCGGCCUCCCAAAGUGCUGGGAUUAUAGGCAUGAGCCACCGCGCCCGGCCUCUCUUUCCCUUUUAUAAGUUUGAAAGAUUCCAGAGCAAGAAGUUGAAAGCACAAGGCGGUGAGGCACCCUGCGCACCGAGAGCGACCUCCCCAGCCGGCGGCUGCAGGCGCAUCCCGGAAGCGGGCAGAGGGGCCUCAGGCUCUCUCCCGCCAGGGCGGAGGGCCCCAUCCCCUUUCCCAGCGCCCCCGGCGUGGCCGGCGGUUCAAUGACCUAGCCUGAGCCACGCACCAACCAGGAGCGACAGCAGGGACAGCAGCGGUGAUGAACAACCCAUGCUGGCAUCAGGACUGGCGCGCCACGCCGCGCACACCCACGGCCCCGCUGCUCAUCCGCCCUCACGCACCACGGUGGCAGUCGCCUCCUCCACACAUGCGCAUGCUGCUCCACCA
rnacentral:lncRNA from 1 species